rnacentral:lncRNA from 1 species
CUGUUUUGUCCUAUCACCCUCUGUCAAUACCCAGACAAGUGAAACAACCUUUGUAAUUAAAAAAAAAACAGCAAACCAAACCCCCAAACAAUUUCCUGUGUACUUCCUGCUAUGGAACAGGAGGACAUUAGAGGAGAUCAGCUGUAUCCUUGGGGUUUUUUUGUCAGCAAAAUAAGAACAUCAGAAUUAUGAAAAUGUCCAAACUCAAUCAAGUGUUCAUUAGCAUUCUGGGGAAUCACUUCAAUUAAAGAAAACUCUUAUUUUGUCUGCAUCACUAGGGAGAUGCAGACUAAAAUUGGAAUGUAAAUGUGCUUGUAUUUUAGAAUGAUUUAAUGUGACAAUCUUUCUAUUUGCAAAUGUCCCAGCAAAGGGUCACAGUUUAACAUUAAAUUCACAGAAUAAAAUGCAAGUUAAAAAACAUGCCAGAACAAUUUACAGGAUGCUGUUCAAUUUUCUGGUAAAGAACACAUGAAGAUUUUUUACAUUACAUUUUUCUUUGAGACUUUACAUGCUGCCAGUUCUGAGCCAUGAAUUGUUUGUGUUCUUAAAUUCCAGUUUGGGAAGUUUACUAAGGUACUAGCAAGAAGCUCUAGCAAAGUUUCCUUUCAUUUCCAAACCACUUCAGUGUCUUUUCCCACUGAUGGGAUAAAUGGGCUGAGCAUUUUCAGCUGCAUCUCAGGUAAAACCAAUGAAAAUCAAGCCCUUAAGGCUCUGAUUUUCAGAGUGCUUAACUUUAACUGUAGCUGCAGGUAAUUGGAGCUGCUGGGGUACUGUAACCCUGAAAACUUGAAACAAUGCUCUCUUUCUGAGGAGGAUGGUCUUUGGAUUAUCAAACUUGCCUGGCAAUGUGAGGUCUCUCUGUGCUAGCAGAAGGAAGAGUGAGUGCCACAUCUCCAGUCAAGAGCUGAAGUAUUGCAGGACUGUUCUGCAGACCAAGCACACAGGCAGCUCACCUUCUACUAGGAAAACCAGAAGCAAGUACCAUAAAUUCCAGAGCACCAUGUGCACUCUUCUCUACACCCCAAGAAAAAAUCAAAACAACAAAACCAAACCAAACAACACAACCCCUCCCAACAAAGAACUAGAAAAAAGAAGAAUCAACACCACCUAA